CUCUCUUCAAUCAAUUCAAGAUUUCUAAAAAUUCAAUCAGUUCAAGGUUUCUAAAAAUAUGAAAUCUCCAUCGUUCUUUGCCAAACCCUAAUAAAAUCUCCAUUGUUCUGUGCCAAACCCUAAAAUCGCCAGCUCCGUAUCAUUCUUUGAGAAUCUGGGAUUCUUAUUUCAGAUUUUCGAUUGCAGUAUAAUGGAAUUUAUUUGGUAGCAAUCGAUUCAUGGAAGCAUCAGAUAAUCAAAUCUUCUUUCCAAUUUGCAUUAAUGAAGUUUCAAUCUUUUUCUCCUCUCCCACGUCUCUCAUACAAUGCAUCUUAUUUCUCCUUCUUAUUUUCCCUUCCUACUCAAACCCUAAAAAUCAGAUGGAUGCUUCUUUCAACCGUUCCAUUGAGAAAACCUAAAAUCCUCCAUUGCAUCGCACCUGUUUACACCGAUUCAGAAAUCGCAUCUAUUGCAUCUUAUAUACAUACAGGUCAAGUUGUUUCUCGAUCUAGACUACUCUAAACCUAACAUUCUUUCAUGAUUCGUUUUUAAUCUAUGUUUAUUUGUUAUCAAUCAUCGAAAAAUAACGGUAAUUGGUAUGAUUUCAAGGUCAACGAACUUGUGUUAAAGAGAUUAGAUUUAUUCUGUUCAUUUUUUAGAUCUGGUUAUGUUAAUUAAAGAGGUUAGAUCUAGGUUUAUUUUGAUGUGUAUGAAUUUAGAGGUAUUGAAUGACCCAAUUUACAUGUCAUGACAGUUUCUUCUCCAAUGUUCAGAGCAACUAUUGUUAAUCUUUGAAGCAAAAUCUUUUGAUUUUUUACAUUUUGUUUUUGUUUUUUUACACAACUAGAAAGUAAAAAAAAUAUAUUUACCGUCUUUUACACAUCUUAUUCACACCUAGAUGGCGAGAAGGUCGAUGAUCAUAGCCGGUAUUGUGCCGGUAGUGGGAACGCUAUUUGUCAGGUCUGGGCUUGCUGCCAAGCUUGCCUGAGUUAAGUGGUCUUGCUUUCCUCUAUUAGUAAAGCCGGAUGGCGAGAAGGUCGAUGAUCAUAGACGGUGUUGUGCUGGUACAAAAUACCCACUUCUUUAUACCAGGUUGAAGGAAUUGUGAAGAAUUUGACAAUGACCGGAGAUGAUGAUAAGAUUACUGCUGUGAUUAAUUUGUUGACUUACGAAUAUACUUACUCGCCUCAAGCGAAUCUGCGCAAGGGAUGGUUGACUGGCUUAGAUGCAACUACUGUUGGUUUGAGUUCUGAAGCUCACAACAUCUCGAGGGACUUAGUUUGGGCCUCUUUAUGGGUGUCAACACAUGCAUUUGAAAGUUGAAAGCAAUGACCAAUUAAGUGUAUGUUUGACCCGUUUUCUCUAAGUACACACCGACUAUAGAUAUGUGGAGUAUUGGUUGUAUUUUUGCGGAACUUUUAACCGGAAAGCCACUUUUUCCGGGGAAAAAUGUGGUGCAUUAGUUGGACCUCAUGACCGAUCUUUUGGGGACCCCAUUACCUGAAGCGAUAGCCAGGAUAAGAAAUGAGAACGACCGGAGAUACUUAAGCAGCAUGAGGAAGAAACAACCGAUCCCUUUUUCACAGAAGUUUUCGAAUACAGUUCCCCUUGCUCUUCGUUUACUAGAAAGAAUGCUUGCGUUUGAGCCUAAAGAUCGUCCUACUGCUGAGGAGGUCCGGUGGAUAAUUCAAAUAAGCUCCCAAAGUGGAAUUAUGAUGGGUCUAGCACAGGGCAAGUCUCUGGGAAAGCAAUGAAGUUGUUUUAUGCUCGAGUUUAUGGUGACAGGACCUUUUUUUUCUCUCAAUCGUGCACACAAGCCUGGUGUAGAAGACUUGCAAUAUUUCUUGGAGUUUCAAGUUCCUUUAAGUGGGCCCUAUGAUUUUGUGACUCGACUCUUAGGCAUCAAAGAAAGAAAACCUCAUGCUCUCGGCUUCAGUUUAUUUUUUUGGGUCCCAAGAUGUACGUCAGCACGACCCAGUUGAUCUUCUUGACCUCAUGUUGGGUCAUUUGGAAAGCACGAAAUGACACAAUAUUUGCCGGGAGAAGAGCCAACGUAGACGCGAUGUUUGGAGAGCUUCAAACCUUGAGCUUCUUAUGGAUCAAGCAUUGUUCUAGGGACUGCGGUUUGACAUGGGAAAAGUGGGUGUCUUUUAGUUUUUCCUAAUAUGUAAAACAGUAUGUAUUUUGGUUUUGCUUGGGGUGAGCCUUUGCUCUGUACAAGUAACUUGUUGGUACUUUGCAAAUUGUGUAUUCCUAGGGUGAUGAAUAAAAAGUUUGUU